ACACAUGCAAGUCGAACGGCAGCACGGACUUCGGUCUGGUGGCGAGUGGCGAACGGGUGAGUAAUACAUCGGAACGUGCCUAGUAGUGGGGGAUAACUACUCGAAAGAGUGGCUAAUACCGCAUGAGAUCUACGGAUGAAAGCAGGGGAUCGCAAGACCUUGUGCUACUAGAGCGGCUGAUGGCAGAUUAGGUAGUUGGUGGGAUAAAAGCUUACCAAGCCGACGAUCUGUAGCUGGUCUGAGAGGACGAUCAGCCACACUGGGACUGAGACACGGCCCAGACUCCUACGGGAGGCAGCAGUGGGGAAUUUUGGACAAUGGGCGCAAGCCUGAUCCAGCAAUGCCGCGUGCAGGAUGAAGGCCUUCGGGUUGUAAACUGCUUUUGUACGGAACGAAAAGCUUCGGGCUAAUACCCUGGAGUCAUGACGGUACCGUAAGAAUAAGCACCGGCUAACUACGUGCCAGCAGCCGCGGUAAUANAA
rnacentral:rRNA from 1 species